UACGAAGGGGGCUAGCGUUGUUCGGAAUCACUGGGCGUAAAGCGCAUGUAGGCGGGCUAUUAAGUCGGGGGUGAAAUCCCAGGGCUCAACCCUGGAACUGCCUUCGAUACUGAUGGUCUCGAGUAUGGAAGAGGUUGGUGGAACUGCGAGUGUAGAGGUGAAAUUCGUAGAUAUUCGCAAGAACACCAGUGGCGAAGGCGGCCAACUGGUCCAUUACUGACGCUGAGAUGCGAAAGCGUGGGGAGCAAACAGGAUUAGAUACCCUGGUAGUCCACGCCGUAAACGAUGAGAGCUAGCCGUUGGGAAGUUUACUUUUCAGUGGCGCAGACAACUCGAUAAGCUCUCCGCCUGGGGAGUACGGUCGCAAGAUUAAA
rnacentral:rRNA from 1 species